GGCAUGGUAUGGUAUGAGGUUUGAGUGCUGGACUAUAACUCUUGAGACCAGGGUUCGAAUCCCUGCUCAGCCA